AAUGUUGACAUGUUUAAUUCUUAAAAUAUUAAAGAGCUGUUUGCACCUAAGAUUACCUUCGACACAACUGGAAUAAGCAUAACUGACAUACAGCCAUGACAAUCAAGAUGCAUGAAGAACAUUAUGGUCUUUCCCAAAGUCAUCCUUGUUCAGAUUGCAGCGGUAGUGUUCCUGGCCAGGUGACAGAGACAUCCACUGAUAUUUUAAUGGAGAUUGAAUCUUCAUAUGUCUUCAAAGGAUGGCAUAUGUCAAAUCAGGACUUGGACUACUAUAUACAUUCAUGAAGCUAAAAACAGGAACAUCUAACAGAAAGAAAAGGAAGAGUUAGAAAGAAUAAGAAUGUCUGAAAUUCAUUUCUGCCUGAUAAACAGAAAUAAGUGGGAAAGAUGAUUAGAAUAUCUUAACAAUUUCUGGGAAAAUAAGAAGCCGGAAUUUCCAUGACUUAGGAAUACAGAUGCUUCCUCGAAGGAUCAAUAUGGUGCAGAGGAGUUUCUUUUCUACCACCUGCUGAUGAUGUCAGCAGGAGUACACAGCAAUGGUUUUUCACCUUUAUUUAUUUUUUUCUUUUGAGAAACAUUUUGAAUAACUAGAAUUUUUGAUGGUCCAUCUGAAGAGAUUAACUUACAUCUAUGAUUAUACAUCACUCACUCAAUAAACCUUCUGUACUAAAAGUUUUUGAGUACCACUGUAUACUUGCCAAAGUACUCUGAAGUUCUCCCUUGUUUCUUGUAAAACCCAAGUGCUUCUUCUUUGGUGGCAGGUUGAAUUUCAAUUAUGUCUCUCAUGUCUUUUGUUAGUUGUACCCCUUCAUACACUUCAAUGUUUCAUAUAUUCAGCUCAAAAUUUUUUUGGGGAAAAGGGCAUUGCUAUGAUAAUUUGUGUCUUUAGAUGUAUAAAAUAUAUAUUUUUACACAUUGUUUAAUAUUUGGAGGCACAUCUCUGAAGGGUUUGAUGUAUAUCACGGAACCUCUGGUAUAGCAUUCUUGGGUGAAUAUGUGUAAGUCUCAGAAAGAAGGCUACAAACGCAUGCACACGUGGUACAGAAUCUCAAAUAUUGCACUGGAUGUGUCCUUCCCUGCCAUUCCUUCCCUUCCUUCCUACCUGCUUUCCUUCAUUUUUGAUUGGAGAGUAAACAAUGACCUCACAUUCUAAAGGACAGACUGACUAUUCUGGAAUUAUGGUUACGUAUAUAGCCACCAGAAACAGUUUAAAUUUAUUCAGUUGAUCAAUAGCAAUUCUUCUCAGAAAACACAUGUCUGAAAGCCAGCAAAUCUGUGAUAGUCCUGUACUUUGGCAAGUCAGCCAAUCAGGAACAGACUCACUUCAAAAUACAUACCUCUGAUGGCAGAUAAUCAACACGUAUCUCAACUGAGCAACCAGCUUCCACAUAGGUUGUCAGCCCACUUAAGCCUUUGGAAUUUUAGCCACUCCUGUGCUUCAUGCUUCCCAAAAACUCUGUAGAAGACCAGCAGUCUGCUCUGCUCAAAGAUUGUACCUGGCCAGUCUAACUUUCUCUUAA